AGUGAACGCUGGCGGUAGGCCUAACACAUGCAAGUCGAACGGCAGCACAGUAAGAGCUUGCUCUUACGGGUGGCGAGUGGCGGACGGGUGAGGAAUACAUCGGAAUCUACUUUUUCGUGGGGGAUAACGUAGGGAAACUUACGCUCAUACCGCAUACGACCUACGGGUGAAAGCAGUGGAUCUUCGGACCUUGCGCGAUUGAAUGAGCCGAUGUCGGAUUAGCUAGUUGGCGGGGUAAAGGCCCACCAAGGCGGCGAUCGGUAGCCGGUCGGUGAGGAUGGUCGGCGGCACUGGAACGGAAACACGGACCAGGCUCCUGCGGGAGGCAGCAGUGGGGAAUAUUGGACAGUAGGGGGGAGCCUGGUCCAACCGGCCCACGUCGGAGGAGGAGGCCUUCGGGUUGUAAAGCCGUUUUUUUGGGAAAGAAAAGCAGCAGGUUGAUACGCCGCUGUUGUGACGGUACCCAAAGAAUAAGCACCGGCUAACUUCGUG
rnacentral:rRNA from 1 species